CAUCAUCCCUCUUCUUUCUCUCUCUCUCUCUCUCUCUCUCUCUCUGUUUCUGCUUUGUUUUCUAUUUAUGUUUUGCCUUCAUUGUUAAUUAGCCCUAAUUUUUAUCCUAAUUUUUAUACAUAACUCUCUCUUUUUCUGAUUUUGUUUUUUCCCAAUGUGAUUCUUUACAACCCAUUUCUCACCCUGAACUUCUCUUGCCCUCUCACCAUUGAUUGUUGGGUUGUGUGUAUGUAUAGGUGGAGUGACAUCUAUGGAAUCAUUUUUGAAGUUCUUUCCAUCUGUGUACGAGAAGCAAAAGGCGGAUGGUUCGACGAACCAGUACUGUAAAUUUGACAGUUUCACUCUCACUAUGUUCACUUCAUCUCUGUACUUGGCUGCUCUGUUGUCCUCGCUCGUUGCAUCAACGGUGACCAGAAAACGGGGCAGAAAGUUGUCGAUGCUGUUCGGAGGUGUACUGUUCUGCGCUGGAGCUCUCGUCAAUGGGUUUGCUCAAGCAGUCUGGAUGCUAAUUGUUGGUCGUAUUUUGCUUGGUUUUGGUAUUGGAUUUGCUAAUCAGGUAACUUGCUUUCUCUUCUGGAAUGCUUGUUUGUUUUCUGAUCUUGUUUUGUGCAAGGGUGUUCUGUUUUUGGAUCAAGAGAUUCGCAAUGUUUACUCAUAUCUCUUGAACUGGGAUUUUCAUCACCCAUUUUACCUACAAAAUGGUUACUACAGGUGAGGUGAGCUUUACAAUUUAGGACAUAAGUAGUCAAAGUAGCAUCAAGUAAGCUUCUGUGAUGGCCAAUGAUAGUCCUUCAGUUCCAUUCAUCUCUUAUUUCAAUCGAUUCUCAACCGUUAAAUUAUAUAAAAACUUUGAAGUAUGAUUCAAUUAGGAACUCUAUUUCGCAAAGUGUUUUUGUGUUAAUAAUAAUUCAUUUUAAAGUGUAGAAUACUUCCAAGUUCCACCUCUGUUAACUCAACAGUCAACACUCAUGUUUCAAAACUGAUCCUUUCGAAAAAACACUAUAUGUCUGUUUUGCCUAUAUAUAUGUCUGUUUUGUGAUAGACUGUCAAAAAAUAGCAAAAGUUCAAAUUUUUCCUCUUCAAUUGCUAGCUAAAUAGCUCAACAAAGUUGGUCAGAAUCAUAAUUUUUUUCUUGCCUUCAAACUGUUUGAUAAAAUGUCUCUUAGGAAGUACUCAGUGUAAAACACCCUUUUGGAUUUGUCCCCUAUUUGGGAUGGAGGACAAAGUCAAAGUUAAAUAAUUCUAAUAAUACAAUUGAUUACUAAGCAAAGCACAUAACCACAUACUUGGAUUUUCCUGAAUAGGCAAUAAACAAUAUCAAUAUUGAACCCUUUCUUUUUGGUCCUUGACAGAAAAUGAUGAGUUUAAUCUCCAUAUAGUAAUAAGGAAUCUAAAAAAGACUUGUUAAUGAAAUUGACUAACUAGUCAAAUGAAGUUUAUAAAAUUCAGUAAAGUACAUGGAGGUCAAAAGAUUAAAAGUAAUAAUGAGUUUAUCAUGAAAGAUAGAAGAAAGCAAUAUAUAAAACAAAAAGAAAAGCUGUGUUUUUUCUUCUAUGCAAGUCAAUAAUUCAUAGAAGGUGGAAGGUGUACUAGUUCUUUUCAAGCGGCCAUCAUCAUUGAAGCACUUGGAAUAGUUUGCAAGAGGGUUUAUUGCUUCAGUCUCACUGCUAUGUCCUUUUGGUUAGGAUUCUACUUGCAAGUAGUUCCUGAUACCAUGCCUUUAGUAUUGCUAGUAUAUGUCUUAUUAUUUAAGUAAUAUUUGUUAUUUGCAUUCAAACUUGUUAUGCUAUUAUAUAUCUACAGUGCCUAAAAGGAACAGAUGUUAUUUGUAUGUUGUUUUAAAAACUUGAUGUAGUGAUUCUUGCAAUAUUAGUGGAGCUAAUGAUCCUAGUGGUUUGAUCAUGUAGAUACAGUUACUCUCGAAUAUAAUGAGUGGAAAGAUUAUCUUACAGUUGUACCAUUUGUGGUAACUGUUGUAGCAUCUGUGUCUUUGAUUUCUAUAACUUCUAAGUUGAUCCAUGCAACUUCAGGAUCCUCAGCCCACACGUGUGAUCCGACUAUGAUGUUUACAGUAGUUCCCUGGAUCAUUGAAGAAUCACAAAAAAGAGAAGCCAAUGGAUUUUUGUUGUCUAGAGAGAGAAUGGCAGUGCUAGUAAGGAAUGAUGGAGUGAAGAUUUGCUGGAAAUAAAAAUUAGACAGAAUGUUGAAAAGAAGAGGAAAUUCUGGUGGUGGUAACUCAAAAGAAAAAAAGGCAGAGAUGCUGACUUGGCACCUUUUUUUUUUGCUCAUUCGACACAGGAUGCUAACUUGCCACCAAAAGAAGCAUGCCAGUUGUGUGUAGGCAACAAAGAGAAUUCAUGUGCAGUUGAUGCAAGAGAUAGUUUUUAUGUUAAUGCUUAUUGUUGCAGCCAUCUGAUGAGUGGACCUUUUGCUUUGCCAAUGUUGAAGGCCUUUGGGUUCCUAAUUAUGGUUGUGCAUUGCUAAUGCCAAGCAGUGGGGAUUACUAGCUGUCAUUGGAGUGGUUAUAAAAUUAUGAAAGUGUCUUAUUACUUAAAUAAUUUGACAUUAAGUUAUUCCUUUUUGGAUGGUUGGAAGUUAAAUGGAUGUAAAUUUUGAAAUGAUUGAUAAUAUAUGUAUUGUUUUGUUUA